rfam:Triticum aestivum genome assembly, contig: Triticum_aestivum_CS42_TGACv1_scaffold_222062_3B
CUGAUACUCCCUCCGUCUGGAAAAACUUGUCCCAAGCUUUUCUUUCAAAUGGAUGUAUCUAGCACCAACUUAGUGCUAGAUACAUUUUUUUGAAGGACAAGAUUUUUCCGACGAAGGAAGUAUCAG